rnacentral:rRNA from 1 species
AGAGUUUGAUCAUGGCUCAGAAUUAACGCUGGCGGCAUGCCUAACACAUGCAAGUCGCACGAGAAAGCCCCUUUCGGGGGGCGAGUAAAGUGGCGCACGGGUGAGUAACGCGUGGAUAAUCUACCUCUUUCUGGGGGAUAACGCACCGAAAGGUGCGCUAAUACCGCAUAAUCCGGUCGAUUUCUGGAUUGAUCGGUAAAGGUGGCCUCUUCAUGAAAGCUACCGGGAAGAGACGAGUCCGCGUCCCAUUAGCUUGUUGGUAGGGUAACGGCCUACCAAGGCGACGAUGGGUAGCUGGUCUGAGAGGACGAUCAGCCACACUGGAACUGGAACACGGUCCAGACUCCUCCGGGAGGCAGCAGUGAGGAAUAUUGCGCAAUGGGGGAAACCCUGACGCAGCGAUGCCGCGUGAGUGAAGAAGGCCUUCGGGUCGUAAAGCUCUGUCAAGUGGGAAGAAUAGCGGCGGGACGAAUAAUCCCGUCGUCUGACGGUACCACUGAAGGAAGCACCGGCUAACUCCGUGCCAGCAGCCGCGGUAAGACGGAGGGUGCAAGCGUUAUUCGGAUUUAUUGGCGUAAAGAGCGUGUAGGCGGCGGCCAAGCCAGAUGUGAAAGCCCAGGGCUCAACCCUGGAAGUGCAUUUGGAACUGGGCUUGAGUUCGGGAGAGGGAAGUGGAAUUCCGGGUGUAGAGGUGAAAUUCGUAGAUAUCCGGGGAACACCGGUGGCGAAGGCGACUUCCUGGACCGAAACUGACGCUGAGACGCGAAAGCGGGGGGAGCAAACAGAUUAGAUACCCUAGUAGUCC